rnacentral:rRNA from 1 species
GACGGAGGGUGCAAGCGUUGUUCGGAUUGACUGGGCGUAAAGGGCGUGUAGGCGGCUGGUCAAGUCGGGUGUGAAAGCCUGAGGCUCAGCCUCAGAAGCGCAUCCGAAACUAGCCAGCUAGAGCGCGAUAGAGGAGGAUGGAAUUCCUGGUGUAGCGGUGAAAUGCGUAGAGAUCAGGAGGAACACCGGCGGCGAAGGCGGCCCUCUGGCUCGUUGCUGACGCUGAGGCGCGAAAGCGUGGGGAGCAAACAGG